UGUAUAUACACACCAGUGGUUAACUUGUA
rnacentral:piRNA from 1 species